AUUGAACGCUGGCGGCAGGUCUAACACAUGCAAGUCGAGCGGAUGAAGGGAGCUUGCUCCUGGAUUCAGCGGCGGACGGGUGAGUAAUGCCUAGGAAUCUGCCUGGUAGUGGGGGAUAACGUCCGGAAACGGGCGCUAAUACCGCAUACGUCCUGAGGGAGAAAGUGGGGGAUCUUCGGACCUCACGCUAUCAGAUGAGCCUAGGUCGGAUUAGCUAGUUGGUGGGGUAAAGGCCUACCAAGGCGACGAUCCGUAACUGGUCUGAGAGGAUGAUCAGUCACACUGGAACUGAGACACGGUCCAGACUCCUACGGGAGGCAGCAGUGGGGAAUAUUGGACAAUGGGCGAAAGCCUGAUCCAGCCAUGCCGCGUGUGUGAAGAAGGUCUUCGGAUUGUAAAGCACUUUAAGUUGGGAGGAAGGGCAGUAAGUUAAUACCUUGCUGCUUUGACGUUACCAACAGAAUAAGCACCGGCUAACUUCGUG
rnacentral:rRNA from 1 species